rnacentral:rRNA from 1 species
GACGAGCGCUGGCGGCGUGCUUAACACAUGCAAGUCGAACGGAAAGGUCCUGCUUUUGUGGGGUGCUCGAGUGGCGAACGGGUGAGUAACACGUGAGUAACCUGCCCUUGACUUUGGGAUAACUUCAGGAAACUGGGGCUAAUACCGGAUAGGAGCUCCUGCUGCAUGGUGGGGGUUGGAAAGUUUCGGCGGUUGGGGAUGGACUCGCGGCUUAUCAGCUUGUUGGUGGGGUAGUGGCUUACCAAGGCUUUGACGGGUAGCCGGCCUGAGAGGGUGACCGGCCACAUUGGGACUGAGAUACGGCCCAGACUCCUACGGGAGGCAGCAGUGGGGAAUAUUGCACAAUGGGCGGAAGCCUGAUGCAGCAACGCCGCGUGCGGGAUGACGGCCUUCGGGUUGUAAACCGCUUUCGCCUGUGACGAAGCGUGAGUGACGGUAAUGGGUAAAGAAGCACCGGCUAACUACGUG